UGAUGGAUGUGUGGUAAAAAAAAGGGAAGGAUAGCCUAGGAAUCUAGAAUAUUAUAAGAAAAUAAUGGAAAAUCUGGUGAGAUAUUAUACUUGUGUAUGACAAAGAUCUAGAGGUCCGGGCAGGGCGAAAUGCUUUAAUCUUUAUUGAAGGAUGUAGGAAGCGGAGAAAUAAGUAAUAUGGAUGUAAGUAGUGAAAAGGCGAAAUGCUUACACACAUUAGUGGCAACCUUGAAUAGGAAUUCAUGGAAAAUAAGUAUUCAUAAAGCCUGCCCGAAAUAGUUGGUACCAAGUUUGAUGGUCAUGAUUUCGGUUAGAUGAAAGCAUGCAUAUUUUUCUGUUGCAUAGGGGCUGGUCAUGAGGAUGUGCAGGAAAAAUAUCCUUGAAGGCCUGCUUUAUGCUUCCUGAUUAGUGAUUAUAUAUAUCAUAGUGGCCAUGGGAGGAACUGGAUGCGAGAACAAGGCAUAAGCAGGAAAUGGGAAAUGACUAUAGAAAAAAAAAAAUCCCCGAAACUGGAAACAUGAAAUGGUGUAUACUGUAUACAUAAAUUUGUACCAAGUACAUGCAAAACCACUCAGCAACUAAUGUGGUGUGGUUUCUAAUUGGUUUCCUCGAGGAGGAGGGCAGUUUCAUAAAUUUAUACUUUAAGGAGAUUGAUAAAUUCACUCCCUCAUAAAUUUACUUUUUUUUGUUUCUUAUCAAAUCAAGUGAGUAAAAUCUUUAAGAUAAAAAAAAAUGUAUGAACAAAAAAUCUAGUAACUGAUCUGAUUCUGCCCCACCCCACCUAUCAUCUUCACUCCAUGUUUCUUGUUAUUUUUCUUUCCCCUUUUUUGUUUUAGAGCUUUGGAGACAGUGAGGAAAGAUGGCAAGCAGCAAUAAAAAGCAAUGAACAAGCAGGGGGGCCUACAAG
rnacentral:lncRNA from 1 species